rnacentral:rRNA from 1 species
AUAAGUAGACCGCCUGGGGAGUACGGCCGCAAGGUUAANACUCAAAUGAAUUGACGGGGGCCCGCACANGCGGUGGAGCAUGUGGUUUAAUUNGAUGCAACGCGAAGAACCUUACCUGGUCUUGACAUACACAGAAUCUNGUANAGAUACGAGAGUGCCUUCGGGAAUUGUGAUACAGGUGCUGCAUGGCGUCGUCAGCUCGUGUCGUGAGAUGUUGGGUUAAGUCCCGCAACGAGCGCAACCCUUGUCCUUAGUUACCAGCGGGUUAAGCCGGGAACUCUAAGGAUACUGCCAGUGACAAACUGGAGGAAGGCGGGGACGACGUCAAGUCAUCAUGGCCCUUACGACCAGGGCUACACACGUGCUACAAUGGUAGGUACAGAGGGCAGCUACACAGCGAUGUGAUGCGAAUCUCAAAAAGCCUAUCGUAGUCCAGAUUGGAGUCUGCAACUCGACUCCAUGAAGUAGGAAUCGCUAGUAAUCGCGGAUCAGAAUGCCGCGGUGAAUACGUUCCCGGGCCUUGUACACACCNCCCGUCACACCAUGGGAGUUGAUUGCACCAGAAGUGGUUAGCCUAA